rnacentral:tRNA from 1 species
UGUCUCGUCGUCUAGGGGCCAAGGAUCCCGUGCGCCCUUCGGGGACGCGGAGGCGUGGGUUCAAAUCCCACCGGGACAU